CAGAAGAUGGUAGCCAUCACUAGGCCUGACCUUUGUUGUUGUCUCGGCCUCCCAAGACCAGUACAAGUGUGUACAACGACAGUGACAGCGAACCAAUCAACAACCCACCACCAAUCGAGGACACCACCACUAUUGCCCAGUCACCGUCUACCCCACCAUCACUGACCCUUUGGCCACGACCUCCUGUUGUGCUUACCUAUUAGAGCCGUCCGCAUGCCCCACCUAGGUCACUGAUUGUUGAACCAAGCACCAGCCACUACAGAACAUCCUCGAAGUCUUUCUCCUCCUUAUCUCCUCACGGGCGGAAAUGGCCUACUGCUGCAUCUUCUCUCCAGUGUCCUACCACCUGACGUUCUAGUCAGGUGCACGAUAGAUUCACAACGAGUAGUUCUUCUACAUCCUCUAAUGAUCACACCACUCCUGACUUUGGUAAGGAUUUUCCCACAUCCCUGCCUGUCCAUGACUCCUCGUGAACCCUAAUAUUCAACAAGCUUACUAAGUGCACCCAAUAUGAUGCUAUCUCCUCCCUCCCCUACAUGGAAGAAAAACAUAAGAAUAGCUAACUGAACGAACAUCCUGAGAAAAUUUGCUGGACAAGGCUUGACCUGCGAUUUCUGAUCCUGUUCCCCCAGAGUCAAAAUUUGCCCAAAGGCUCUAGGUAGAAGCUGCUGAAUGACCCAAUCAAUAUUGGACCUAAAUCUUGCCCAAACCUUUAGGCAAACCGCCAGUCUAUAAUAGAAAGCGCGACUGACUUGGAAAAGAAAAAAAAAUUAGAUCUACUCAUUUAAAGAUGCAAAAUUCCAUGCGAUGUCACCCUAGAAAGUGCGGCAUGAUCUCUCCAAAAGUGAAGGAAUCUCCACCCCUCAAGAAAACAAAUCAAAGGAGUUAUUUCAUUAAAGAUAUUCAAAUCAAGUUUUUUAGGAAAGAUUAGUGAGGGUUCUGCUAGGGUUCAACUACUAUAAAUACCAUGCUUAUCGACUGCAGCAAUCAUCUUCACUUCUGUUGAAUUUUUUUCUUUCUUUUUAUACUUUCUUUCAGUCAUGUGUGGCUAACUUUUUUAGUUCUAGUUGGAGAUAGGUUAAAGUUUCAGUUUCUUCAUGGAUUGUGAGAUCUAAACAUUAUUGUUCAUUUUUAUUAUUCCAAUAUUUAUACAACUUUAGUUAUUACUA